rnacentral:rRNA from 1 species
UAAUACAGAGGGUGCGAGCGUUGUCCGGAAUCACUGGGCGUAAAGGGCGCGUAGGCGGCUUGGUAAGCGUGCGGUGAAAGCUCGAGGCUCAACCUCGAGUCUGCCGUGCGAACUGCCGAGCUGGAGCACGGUAGAGGCACAUGGAAUUCCGGGUGUAGCGGUGGAAUGCGUAGAGAUCCGGAAGAACACCGGUGGCGAAGGCGGUGUGCUGGGCCGUAGCUGACGCUGAUGCGCGACAGCGUGGGGAGCAAACAGGAUUAGAUACCCUGGUAGUCCACGCCGUAAACGAUGGGCACUAGGUCCUUGGGGGAGCGACCCCUUGAGGGCCGUCGCAAACGCAUUAAGUGCCCCGCCUGGGGAGUACGGCCGCAAGGCUG